GAAUAUUGGACAAUGGGGGCAACCCUGAUCCAGCCAUGCCUCGUGUGUGAAGAAGGCCUUUUGGUUGUAAAGCACUUUAAGCAGUGAAGAAGACUCCAUGGUUAAUCCCCAUGGACGCUGACAUUAGCUGCAGAAUAAGCACCGGGUAACUCUGUUCCAGUCUCCGCGGUAAUCCAGUGGGUGCAAGAGUUAAUCGGAAUUACUGGGCGUAAAGCGAGCGUAGGUGGCUUGAUAAGUCAGAUGUGAAAUCCCCGGGCUUAACCUGGGAACUGAAUCUGAUACUGUUAGGCUAGAAUAGGUGAGAGGAAGGUAGAAUUCCAGGUGUAGCGGUGAAAUGCGUAGAGAUCUGGAGGAAUACCGAUGGCGAAGGCAGCCUUCUGGCAUCAUAUUGACACUGAGGUUCGAAAGCGUGGGUAGCAAAC
rnacentral:rRNA from 1 species